rnacentral:rRNA from 1 species
AACGAACGCUGGCGGCAUGCCUAACACAUGCAAGUCGAACGAAGUCUUCGGACUUAGUGGCGCACGGGUGCGUAACGCGUGGGAAUCUGCCCUUGGGUGCGGAAUAACUUCUCGAAAGGGAUGCUAAUACCGCAUAAUGUCGUAAGACCAAAGAUUUAUCGCCCAAGGAUGAGCCCGCGUAAGAUUAGCUAGUUGGUGGGGUAAAAGCCUACCAAGGCGACGAUCUUUAGCUGGUCUGAGAGGAUGAUCAGCCACACUGGGACUGAGACACGGCCCAGACUCCUACGGGAGGCAGCAGUGGGGAAUAUUGGACAAUGGGCGAAAGCCUGAUCCAGCAAUGCCGCGUGAGUGAUGAAGGCCCUAGGGUUGUAAAGCUCUUUUACCUAGGGAUGAUAAUGACAGUACCUGGAGAAUAAGCUCCGGCUAACUCCGUGCCAGCAGCCGCGGUAAU